rfam:Trichobilharzia regenti genome assembly, scaffold: TRE_scaffold0008788
AGUCCUAAAUAGGACGAAAUGCGCAUCCUGGAU